AAAUUUAACUUUUUUACAGAAACAAGAAGUUGUGUGGGAUCAAGAACUGUAUGAUCAGUUUGAAUAUAAAACACCAAAGUCAUUCUUUCAUACAUUUGAAGCAGAUAAUUGUUUAACAGGGCUGAAUUUUGCGGAUGAAAAUGAAGCAGAAUUUUUUAGACAGACUGUUACAACAAAACUAAGGCAAUGGCAACAGAAACAAGAAAGAAAACAUGCACAUCAGUCAUUACAGCCUUCACAAAGAAGUGUUGCUGCUUCAUUAACAGGAAGAAGAGCUGAAUCAUUGCCAUCAUUGAGCAAUAACAGCAACAUAGAGAAAAAGAAAAAACA